UUUUUCUACGCGUUAUACUCUCUCUCUCUCUUAAAACCCUAGACCUUUCUCUCUCUAAAAACCUUCUCCAAUCUUCAUCUUCAUCAUCAUCUCUACUUAUGGACGAUGAUCCGGUCACCGGAGCGUUCUCCACAGACUCCACCUGGACACUCAACACCGAUUACACCUUCUUCGGAAUCGGCGACACGAGAGACAACAACAUAUUGAGUGAGUUCGGAUGGAACAUCGAUCCUUCACCACCGGAAUUCGACCGGAUCGGUUCCGGAGCUAGUUGCCGUGUGGUUCAGGAGACUACUUCUAAUUCCACCGCAAGUGCGGUUGCAGCUCAGUCUCGAACCGGAUCCGGUGAAAUUUUAAAGGAUUUGUCUACGCCGAAUCCGUUAGCCUCUUCUAGCUCGUCGGAUGAUCGGCCGGAGUCUUCUGCCGCGUCUGGCGAGGCGGUUUGUUGUGGUAAACCGCAGCCGCCGUCUUCGUCAGAGACAGGGGGUAAGAUUAAAAAGAAGGGGCCGAAAAGAAUUCGCCAGCAACGGUUUGCAUUCGUUACCAAGAGUGAAAUUGAUCAUCUUGAAGACGGUUACAGAUGGCGAAAAUACGGGCAGAAAGCCGUUAAAAAUAGCCCUUUUCCUAGGAGCUAUUACCGUUGCACAAACAGCAAAUGCACAGUGAAGAAGCGCGUUGAGCGAUCAUCAGCCGAUCCUACAACUGUAAUUACCACAUAUGAAGGCCAACAUUGUCAUCACACUGUAGGGUUCCCAAGAGGACUAAUGAGUCAUCACGAAGGGGGUUACGCAAGAUUAUUGGCGCCUUCUUCAACCUCACAGCAGUUUAACUACUUGAGAUCAAGAGUGCCGCAAUUGAGUGAUCAUGUUGCUUCUCAGUCACAAUCACAAAUAGUAUCUAGUGAAGCUGGGGAUCACCAUGAACAACCUUCAACAUCUUUCCAACGUCCUCGGGUUGAUCAAGGGUUGCUUGGGGAUAUAGUGCCUACAAUAAUGAGGAACUGAUAAUAUUCAUAAUGUUGAUGUAGGCUCGGGUUUGAGGAUAGGAUUGUUAGACGCAAAGCUAAUAUCGCUUGUAAAGAUGUGUACGGGAGAACUGCAACCUUCCCGGUCUGCCAACGUGUGACUAGAAGCAGGACGGUUAGUGUUCUUUAGUAGAGUGAUGUCGGGAGGAACGUUCUCUCUAACCAUAAGGGAGGAAACUUAGGAACAGGAGCUGAACUAUCAAAGUGACUGUUCUAAGCAGCGUAGCUCACGAUGGUAGAUCACUAGAUUGAAUUUGCAGUCCAAGUCAUCAACCACUUAAGAAUAUCAGUUCUCAGGUAUUAAUUAUAACUGUAACUUUUAAUGUCGACACAUUGACUAGUUAAAAUGAUUUUAGUCUACUUAUAUAAUUGUUUAUUCUCUCUCUUCUUUGAAUCAAGUGGCUACUAACCCAACCAUCUUUCAUGUGCUACUUUUCACUUUUAUGAUAACUAAAUUUAGCUAAAGAUUUCAUUCAUAUAUAUCUUUGCUUUAUUCAUUGUAUUUUAACUUUUAUUUUUCCACUGAAAAGUUUUGGUGUUUGUAGAUUUUGUCACUUGAUUUUGUUCUCUUGCUUAGAAGAAUAUCAAAAGAUACAAAAGUUAAAUCUAAUAUAAAUCUCAGAAUAUCUUUUUCAUC